GAUGAACGCUAGCUACAGGCUUAACACAUGCAAGUCGAGGGGCAUCAGGAAGAAAGCUUGCUUUCUUUGCUGGCGACCGGCGCACGGGUGAGUAACACGUAUCCAACCUGCCCUUUACUCGGGGAUAGCCUUUCGAAAGAAAGAUUAAUACCCGAUAGCAUAAUGAUUCCGCAUGGUUUCAUUAUUAAAGGAUUCCGGUAAAGGAUGGGGAUGCGUUCCAUUAGGUUGUUGGUGAGGUAACGGCCCACCAAGCCUUCGAUGGAUAGGGGUUCUGAGAGGAAGGUCCCCCACAUUGGAACUGAGACACGGUCCAAACUCCUACGGGAGGCAGCAGUGAGGAAUAUUGGUCAAUGGGCGCUAGCCUGAACCAGCCAAGUAGCGUGAAGGAUGAAGGCUCUAUGGGUCGUAAACUUCUUUUAUAUAAGAAUAAAGUGCAGUAUGUAUACUGUUUUGUAUGUAUUAUAUGAAUAAGGAUCGGCUAACUCCGUGCCAGCAGCCGCGGUAAUACGGAGGAUCCGAGCGUUAUCCGGAUUUAUUGGGUUUAAAGGGAGCGUAGGUGGACUGGUAAGUCAGUUGUGAAAGUUUGCGGCUCAACCGUAAAAUUGCAGUUGAUACUGUCAGUCUUGAGUACAGUAGAGGUGGGCGGAAUUCGUGGUGUAGCGGUGAAAUGCUUAGAUAUCACGAAGAACUCCGAUUGCGAAGGCAGCUCACUGGACUGCAACUGACACUGAUGCUCGAAAGUGUGGGUAUCAAACAGGAUUAGAUACCCUGGUAGUCCACACAGUAAACGAUGAAUACUCGCUGUUUGCGAUAUACAGUAAGCGGCCAAGCGAAAGCAUUAAGUAUUCCACCUGGGGAGUACGCCGGCAACGGUGAAACUCAAAGGAAUUGACGGGGGCCCGCACAAGCGGAGGAACAUGUGGUUUAAUUCGAUGAUACGCGAGGAACCCUUACCCGGGCUUAAAUUGCAGUGGAAUGAUGUGGAAACAUGUCAGUGAGCAAUCACCGCUGUGAAGGUGCUGCAUGGUUGUCGUCAGCUCGUGCCGUGAGGUGUCGGCUUAAGUGCCAUAACGAGCGCAACCCUUAUCUUCAGUUACUAACAGGUCAUGCUGAGGACUCUGGAGAGACUGCCGUCGUAAGAUGUGAGGAAGGUGGGGAUGACGUCAAAUCAGCACGGCCCUUACGUCCGGGGCUACACACGUGUUACAAUGGGGGGUACAGAAGGCAGCUAGCGGGUGACCGUAUGCUAAUCCCAAAAUCCUCUCUCAGUUCGGAUCGAAGUACUGCAACCCGACUUCGUGAAGCUGGAUUCGCUAGUAAUCGCGCAUUCAGCCACGGCGCGGUGAAUACGUUCCCGGGCCU
rnacentral:rRNA from 1 species